GAAUUUGUAAAGGUGUGUCCUGUAGUUUUAUUUAAUUUAUUUAUUGUAGGAGGGACACUCUCAACCUUUGUUUGGGGGUACAGUUCAAUCCUUUUCUUCCUGAGAAGAGAAUAGAAAAUCUAUUUGCUACAGUUGGAACCAACAAGGUUACUGUCUAUCAAUGUGUGCCUGAUAAUUAGAUAGUGCCUAUCCAGUGUUAUACUGAUGCUGACAAAAUUGUGAAAUUCAAUGAAGAAAUGCACAAAGGACUGACAGACUAUUUGUACAUACCUAGCCCUUGGUAACCAGAUUGGUAACUGAGAUAUACAUAUGGGACACCACACAGAAUGAUGUCAUCAAGGGACGUCCAUCAGUGAUACUCUCUUCAGCUAAAUGCUUCACUGCAGUGAGACAAGUCACCUUCAGCAACGACAGCAAGACUAUCAUUGGUGUUUGUGAUAAUGGAACUGUAUGGAGGUGGGAUGCUAAAUCAUAAAGAACCAAUAACACACUCACACACAAACUUAUUGUAAUACACUGUACAUCAGUAUACUGUGUAUACACCAUUAUUUUUCUAACAAACAAUGAUACAUUUUAAUUAUCAUUCACUGAUGCUAAAAGUAAUAGUGUCAUGACUUGAACUAAAA